rnacentral:rRNA from 1 species
CCUACGUGAGUCAGCAGUGAGGAAUAUUGGUCAAUGGACGAGAGUCUGAACCAGCCAAGUAGCGUGAAGGAUGACUGCCCUAUGGGUUGUAAACUUCUUUUAUAAAGGAAUAAAACGAGGCACGUGUGCCUGUUUGCAUGUACUUUAUGAAUAAGGAUCGGCUAACUCCGUGCCAACAGCCGGGGUAAUACGGAGGAUCCGAACGUUAUCCGGAUUUAUUGGGGUUAAAGGGAGCGUGGAUGGGUUUGUAAGUCAGUUGUGACAUUUUCGGGCUCAACCGUAAAAUUGCAAUUGAUACUGGCAGUCUUGAGUGCAGGUGAGGUAAGCGGAAUGCGUGGUGUAGCGGUGAAAUGCUUAGAUAUCACGAAGAACCCCGAUUGCGAAGGCAGCUUACUAAACUGUGACUGACAUUGAUGCUCGAAAGUGUGGGUAUCAAACAGGAGUAGAUACCCUGGUAGUC